UUAACAAAAACAUGUCUUUUUGAGUUAUUUUUAAAGUCUGACCUGCCCACUGAAGUUAUUUAAAUGGCCGCAGUAUUUUAACUGUGCAAAGGUAGCAUAAUCAUUAGUCUUUUAAUUGAAGGCUGGUAUGAACGGUUGGACGAGGUAUAAGCUGUUUCAUGUAAAUUUAUAAUAGAAUUUUAUAUUUUAGUUAAAAAGCUAAAAUUUAAUUAAAAGACGAGAAGACCCUAUAAAUCUUUAUACUUUAUGCUGUUUAAGGGGUUUGGAUUUAUUUUAUUUUUAUAGCUUAAAGUAUUUUGUUGGGGUGAUGUUAAAAUUUAAUAAACUUUUAAUUAUUUAAAAUCAUUAAUUUAUGAGUUAUUGAUCCAUUAAUAGUGAUUAUAAGAUUAAGUUACUUUAGGGAUAACAGCGUAAUUUUUUUGGAGAGUUCAUAUCAAUAAAAAAGUUUGCGACCUCGAUGUUGGAUUAAGAUAUAUUUUUAGGUGUAGCUGCUUAAAUGUUAAGUCUGUUCGACUUUUAAAUUCUUGCGUGAUCUGAGUUC
rnacentral:rRNA from 1 species